AAGAUCUUAUGUUAAAUAAACAAGUAGCCUUCAAAGCUACAAUUAAAAGUAAAUAAUCUUUUAGGUCUUA
rnacentral:tRNA from 1 species